UUACAAAGGAAUUUAUAUGUGCCAU
rnacentral:piRNA from 1 species